GAUGAACGCUGGCGGCGUGCCUAAUACAUGCAAGUCGAGCGAACGGACGAGAAGCUUGCUUCUCUGAUGUUAGCGGCGGACGGGUGAGUAACACGUGGAUAACCUACCUAUAAGACUGGGAUAACUUCGGGAAACCGGAGCUAAUACCGGAUGAUAUUUUGAACCGCAUGGUUCAAAAGUGAAAGACGGUCUUGCUGUCACUUAUAGAUGGAUCCGCGCUGCAUUAGCUAGUUGGUAAGGUAACGGCUUACCAAGGCAACGAUGCAUAGCCGACCUGAGAGAGUGAUCGGCCACACUGGAACUGAGACACGGUCCAGACUCCUACGGGAGGCAGCAGUAGGGAAUCUUCCGCAGUGGGCGAAAGCCUGACGGAGCAACGCCGCGUGAGUGAUGAAGGUCUUCGGAUCGUAAAACUCUGUUAUUAGGGAAGAACAUAUGUGUAAGUAACUGUGCACAGCUUGACGGUACCUAAUCAGAAAGCCACGGCUAACUACGUG
rnacentral:rRNA from 1 species